rnacentral:lncRNA from 1 species
UUAAAAUAGCAAAUUCCUAGUCUCAAGACUGACUUAUGUUAGCUUGAGUGUACCAAAAACCUGCUAUAACAGAUCAAUUAUUUGGCAUGUAUAAAAGCAAAUAGUUGCUAUCUUUGUAACUAAUUAAUUCAGAAAUAAAAAGUUAGUUGUAAAUGAAAAAGUUAAAGAGUAAUUUCCAUUUCUAUCAUGGUAUCAGAGCGCUAGGUUCAAACUAGG